rnacentral:lncRNA from 1 species
AUGAGCCAUCCCAACAAAAGACAGAGCACAUGUUCUCAACACUCUUAUGAGAAUUCCAUGUCAGAACAAGUCCUGAAGAACAGAGAAAAACAUUGGGAAGUCUCAACAGAGCAAAUUCCCCACUUCUCUGGGAUGAGAUUAACGGGCUAUGAAACAUCUCCUACAUCUAAGCUCUUGGGAUCCUUACAACUUGCAUCAAAUACACAAGACCUUGCACCACCCCCGAAACCAGGGAGAACAGUGCAGCACACUUCAGGGAAGCAAAAUUAUUUUUCAGGGUGAUUGCUGAGGACUCUUUAAGAGGCUUGUCUGGUUCCUGUGCUCCAGUCUUGUCACUUCCCAGCCUGCCAUGUCAAGUCCCAGCACACAAAAAGGAUCAAGAUAACCUUAACCGCAUUUAAACAGAAAGCCCUGACCUCUUUCACAUGACUGUACAAGGAAGGGAACCACACACUGGCAUGGAUUUAACUGAUGGACAGGAGCCACACAACAUCACACAAACAUGCGCACCUGUGCGCAGCCACACACGCUUGAGUUCUUGCAGUUUCAGUAAAAAGGGCACUUUCCCAUGUUAGUCCAAGGAGCCAGCACCCCUGGUGGGGAGACGGGAAGCUCUGUACCUAUCUGACACUGCAUUUUGACAGUCUGGCUCAGCACCCCUGGGGAAUUUUAUUUAAAAAUGGGGCUUAAUUGUUCAAGACUCAGAGAAUGCCCUGGCAUUUAUGCACCUCCCUUCAUAAUGCUACAUCCCCUUUUAACCAUACUGCAGCUUCAGAAGAGCAGGAGAGCAGCCUUCACUUCCCAGAGAAAGCUGUCAGAAAAGAGGUUUAUCUAGACUCCUACAACACAUUAUUUGGAGAGGAUAGGAUUUGGCGCUCACACACUAGAUGAAAUCACUGUGAUCUCUACCCUGUGCUAAGUCCAAAGCAUAGAUGUCUUAAGCUGAAGAAACAGAAUCAUUUAUCCUGUUGCUCAUCACACACAGGCCAUCUCACAUGUUCCAUUAUACAAAAAGGUGCCACAGUUGAGCAUGGACAGGUCCUCUAACAACAGAGGACUGUGAAACCUAUCACUUUCCACCUUAUAUCCACUGCAGGCACCAAAACAUAAACCCAGCCAGGAAGUCCAAACCCCAUGAGGCUGAGGAAACAAGAUCACUCCUGGUUCUCCUCCAAGCUUUUCUUCAAAUGCCUGAAAUUCUUGAAGCAACACAUCCAGUGCCAGAAGCCAUGCUCCUUGUUGUGGCAAACAGGGUAGAGGGAGAAAAAAAACAAGUUAGUGAGCAUGAAUCCAGCUUCCAAUAAGUGCAGACUCUUUCUUGGGAGGUUCGGUUAGAUGAGAGUGG